GAUGCCGAGAUUUAUGUCAAUGAAAGAAUGAGGACGCGCCUGGUCUGAUAUUUUUUUUCUUUUCUGUACCUGCUGUAUCAAAUGUACUUGUGUAUAUGAAACUGACUCUAAAGUGCAUGUUUUACAGAUGCAGCAAUUUUGUGGUCUAGGCGGCAGCAGCAUUGGAUCUGCAACACGGCGCAUUUUAGGAAUCUUACUAAGCCAAGAAGUGUCCGUGCAGUAUAGUUGGCUUGGCAUGAAGCGAAAAAAAACUUUUUCUGCAUUGAAAGUGGCUGACACAAUCACAAGGGCUAUAAUGCAAAACUAUUCGACAUCAAAACGAAGUGAUGUAGAGAACGUAAUAAAGGGGUGGCCGCGCCACUCUGGCGAAAAACAGAGCAAACAGCAGGCCAAGGCUGGCACACCUGAAGGCUCACUGGAUGUGCACUCGGAUUUUUCGGAUUAGGUGCCUCAAAGUUCGAGUACAGAGCCCAAUUCCAAGAGGAACCACACUUUGUUGAAGAAAUAUUGGUGGCCUUGGCGAGGGCCACUACAGAUAGUAAUAACAAAGUCUAGUCAU